GUGGGGAAUAUUGGACAAUGGGCGCAAGCCUGAUCCAGCCAUGCCGCGUGAGUGAUGAAGGCCCUAGGGUUGUAAAGCUCUUUCACCGGAGAAGAUAAUGACGGUAUCCGGAGAAGAAGCCCCGGCUAACUUCGUGCCAGCAGCCGCGGUAAUACGAAGGGGGCUAGCGUUGUUCGGAAUUACUGGGCGUAAAGCGCACGUAGGCGGAUAUUUAAGUCAGGGGUGAAAUCCCGGAGCUCAACUCCGGAACUGCCUUUGAUACUGGGUAUCUCGAGUAUGGAAGAGGUGAGUGGAAUUCCGAGUGUAGAGGUGAAAUUCGUAGAUAUUCGGAGGAACACCAGUGGCGAAGGCGGCUCACUGGUCCAUUACUGACGCUGAGGUGCGAAAGCGUGGGGAGCAAACAGGAUUAGAUACCUGUAGUCC
rnacentral:rRNA from 1 species